rnacentral:rRNA from 1 species
UACGGAGGGUGCAAGCGUUAUCCGGAAUCACUGGGUGUAAAGGGUGCGUAGGCGGCUUAGUAAGUCAGGAGUGAAAGCCUGCGGCUUAACCGUAGAAAUGCUUUUGAUACUGCUGAGCUUGAAUUAGGUUGAGGUUGGCGGAAUGUGACAUGUAGCGGUGAAAUGCAUAGAUAUGUCAUAGAACACCAAUUGCGAAGGCAGCUGACUAGACCUGAAUUGACGCUGAGGCACGAAAGCGUGGGGAGCGAACAGG